GAAAGAACCUGUUUAAAUUUCCAUGCCAAUUUGCAACCCCCAUACUGUGCCAGAUUAUAGAUCCAGACUCCUGUGCCUGACCACUGCCCAUGGCCAACUCUCUGCUGAUGACUGGACUUGACUACACAAGUUGUUGGGUACUUUGACUAGAACACCAACCAAGUCAUUGGAAAUAUAAUGCUUUGUUCUUUCUAGCUCCAAGAUAUGAACAUGUGACAACCCAAACAAACAAAAUCCCAACAAGGUUGUCAGAUAUGCAAAUUACAGUUGACCCUUGAACAACAGAGAGGGUAGAGGUGCUGAUCACUGGCACAGUUGAAAAUUCAAAAGUUUUGACUCCCCUAAAACUUAAUUACUAAUAACCUACUGUUGACUAGAAGCCUACUGAUAAUAUAAACGAUUUAUUAACACAUAUUUUAUAUGUUAUAUGUAUUAGGUACUGUAUUAUAAUAAAGUAAGCUAGAGCAAAGAAAAUGUUAUGGAUAAAAUCAUAAGAAAGAGAAAAGAUAUUUACUCUCCAUUGAAUAGAAAUGGCUCAUCAUAAAGAUCUUCAUUCUCACCAUCUUCAAAUUGGGUAGGCUGAAGAGGAGCAAUAAGAGAAGGGGUUGGUCUUGCCAUCUCAGGUGUGGCAGAGACGGAAAACAAUCCACGUAUAAAUAUGGACCCAUGUAGUUCAAACCUGUGUUGUUCAAAGGUCAACUGUAUUUACUUUAAAUUACUUGUCUGACCUGAGAUUUUCCUGACCAUAAUCCAAGAGAUUGACACCUUUCUAAAGUUUGUUCUUAUGUUUUCCAAAAUGACAACUUGUUUUCCAGA
rnacentral:lncRNA from 1 species